rnacentral:rRNA from 1 species
GUCCCAGCUGUAAACGAUGCUCACUAGGUGUUGGGGGGUUACUCCCUCAGUGCCGCAGCUAACGCAUUAAGUGAGCCGCCUGGGGAGUACGGCCGCAAGGUUGAAACUCAAAGGAAUUGACGGGGGCCCGCACAAGCGGUGGAGCAUGUGGUUUAAUUCGAUGCUAAGCGAAGAACCUUACCAGGGUUUGACAUGCAGGUAGUACCGAACUGAAAGGGGAGGGACUCGUAAAGUCGAGAUCCUGCACAGGUGGUGCAUGGCUGUCGU